rnacentral:tRNA from 1 species
GAAUUAAAGUGAAGUAUCACAUGCGGUUUCGACCCGUAAGUUGGAAACCUAUUCCUAAUUCC